UAUAAAAUCUUUGGGUGUGGGAUGCCUGGAUGUUUAUUAUUUAUAUAUAUAUAUAUAUAUAUAUAUAUAUAUAUAUAUAUAUAUAUAUAUAUACAUCCAGGCAUCCCACCCCCAAAGAUUACUAA